UCGCGCGCCCGCCGCGGCCUCGCGCCGUGGGACGGCGUCGCUCCCCGCCGGCUGCCGUUAGGGUUGAGAGCUGCCUGGGCGCGGGGGCCGUGAGGGCGCCUCUCGCCGUGGCUGCGCGGCGGCCUCGUCCGAGAGGCCGGCGCCGGGGCAGGGACCGGCCCGUGCCCAGCCGCCGCGCAGGGCGCCCGGGGCAGCUGGCCGAGCCCUCGAUGCCUCCCGUCUGACGGAGGCGCCCGGGAAGCGCCGCCCACCUCGGCCCCGCACCCUCGCCGGCCUGCCGGGUCUCCGCCAGCCCUAGCAGACAGAGAGGGGCGCCGGUCCCUGGUCCCCCAGACCUCCAUUCAAGGUCAAAACUUUGCCCAGCUCAGCCUUGCUCGACCCUGGGCAGGGAAGCGCGGACAUCGGCAGAGGGAGCCCGAGGCUCUCCGUGCCCUUCGCGCCGCUCCCCAAAGAUGGAUAACACUAACAUAUAGUCAGUGGGAAAGAAAUCUCAGAAAAUAACUGUUAGUUUGUCACUGUCAUGGGAAAUGGAAAGGAAGAAAAACAGCACUUAUCAAGCAUCUUCUGUGUACAAACUGCCAUUUCAGACUCACAGCAGUCCUUGAAGGUCAAGAACUGUGGAAUCUUUCAGAUGAUAUUCUGAUACUUCUGGACAAAGAUUGAAUUUGUUCUUCAUGAAAAAUGUCUGGGACCUUUUAUGUGGGAGGAGCCAAGACGGCCGAAUAGGAAAAGCUCCGGUCUACAGCUCCCAGCGUGAGCGACGCAGAAGAUGGGUGAUUUCUGCAUUUCCAUCUGAGGUACCGGGUUCAUCUCACUAGGGAGUGCCAGACAGUGGGCGCAGGGUGUACUCCAUCUACUUUUAAAAACAAAAAGUUCACUGUAAAACAGCCUCAGGCAGGCCGUUCAGUAGGUAUUCCAGAAGAAGGUAUUGUCAUCAUAGGAGAUGGACAGCUCCAAGGGUGUUAUUGCCCCUGAAGACCUUCUAGUGGAACAAGAUGUGGAGGUGGAAGACAGUGAUGUUGGUGAUCCUGACUCAGUGCAGGCCUAAGCUAAUGUGGGUGUUUGUGUCUUAGUUUUUAACUAAAGAUUUAAAAAGUAAAAAUAAAAAAUUAAAAAAAUUUUUGUACAACUGAACAA